UGGAUCAUGUUGUUUAAUUCGAUGAUACGCGAAGAACCUUACCAGGUCUUGACAUCCCAUGCAAAGCUAUAGAGAUAUAGUGGAGGUUAUCAUGGAGACAGGUGGUGCAUGGUUGUCGUCAGCUCGUGUCGUGAGAUGUUGGGUUAAGUCCCGCAACGAGCGCAACCCCUAUUGCUAGUUACCAUCAUUAAGUUGGGGACUCUAGCGAGACUGCCAGUGAUAAACUGGAGGAAGGUGGAGAUGACGUCAAAUCAUCAUGCCCCUUAUGACCUGGGCUACAAACGUGAUACAAUGGCUGAAACAAAGGGCAGCGAAGCAGUGAUGUGAAGCGAAACCCAAAAAAGCAGUCUCAGUUCGGAUUGAAGUCUGCAACUCGACUUCAUGAAGUCGGAAUCGCUAGUAAUCGCGAAUCAGAACGUCGCGGUGAAUACGUUCUCGGGGUUU
rnacentral:rRNA from 1 species